GACGAACGCUGGCGGCGUGCUUAACACAUGCAAGUCGAACGGAAAGGCCCUGCUUUUGUGGGGUGCUCGAGUGGCGAACGGGUGAGUAACACGUGAGUAACCUGCCCUUGACUUUGGGAUAACUUCAGGAAACUGGGGCUAAUACCGGAUAGGAGCUCCUGCUGCAUGGUGGGGGUUGGAAAGUUUCGGCGGUUGGGGAUGGACUCGCGGCUUAUCAGCUUGUUGGUGGGGUAGUGGCUUACCAAGGCGUUGACGGGUAGCCGGCCUGAGAGGGUGACCGGCCACAUUGGGACUGAGAUACGGCCCAGACUCCUACGGGAGGCAGCAGUGGGGAAUAUUGCACAAUGGGCGGAAGCCUGAUGCAGCAACGCCGCGUGCGGGAUGACGGCCUUCGGGUUGUAAACCGCUUUCGCCUGUGACGAAGCGUGAGUGACGGUAAUGGGUAAAGAAGCACCGGCUAACUACGUG
rnacentral:rRNA from 1 species